CUGGGGGGAGUUGCGCCGCGACGCGCACCGUCGCUUUGCAGGAGCGCUGCGGUGCGGUGACUCCCAGCGCCGGUGCUCAGAGCCGGGCGGGAUACGGAGCGCUGCGGGAAGGAUGCGGUCCGCAACAACGCACCCCGGUAACGCGGGCUGCUAGGAAAAUAAAAGUUAUCCAGACUCAAAACACACUCGUCAAACACACCGAAAAGUUUGAAUUAUUUAUUUCCUCUGGGGACUCCUGUAACCAUUUAUUUUUAAUAGAGCCUAAUUAAGAGUUCCCCAGCGGGUUUUACUUUCGUAAAUAUUUCAGAUGAUUUCGAGCUUCCGGGCAAAUCCUCCAGAGGAAAAGGAAAAUGUAAUGAAAGAAGCGAGGCGCGGAGUUUCAGCCCUUCCCUCCCGUCGGCCGAAGCGACAACAAGUGGCCGCCGGGCGCGAGCAGCGCGGCCCCUUCGGAAACGGCCCGGGGGCUCCGAGGAGGAACGAAGAUACACCGCGACGCGACGGCUCCGGGCCCGGCCGAGGAGAGGCUGUGCGGGACGGGACGCAGCGAGCGGCGGAGCCGCCCCGCACAACCGGCGCGUAAAGAGUACGGAGAGCUCUUCGUUUUAAAGAUAGAAGAAAACGAGGCACAGGGAAAGGAGAUUUUUCGAUCACUUUUUUUUUUUUUUUUUUUUUUGGAAGAAAUCCGGUAAACAAAACAAACAAACAAAAAAUUAAAACUUUUCUUCGUCUGAUAUGUCAAAACAUCGUUCACAGUAAAAUUCACAAACCGAUUUACAUAAGUUUACAGCUUAAGAAAAACCCAGACACACAACUUGCUAUAAAUAAAAGAAAGGGUUUGCGACCCGCACAGCUCUCUCCCACCGCCCCCUUUCCGUAGGAACAAAACCCUAAAGUUAAAAACUCUACGAAUUGCGGACACGAACCGAGCGGCGCUCGGCAAGGUGGGAAGAACAACACUUUCAGUAACCACAACGAAAAUGUAAACAACGGAACGACUGAGUUUGAAAACAACGCCCGCCGGGUCGGUUUUUCGUUUUGUCAUUGCAACGCUAAAAUGGAACGGGGCGAUGCACCAUCUUUAAGACUCGGAAGCGAACAAAACUACGCCCAACCCCGCGGAGACCGGGAGAGUCGCCGUGGCUUAAGAACUUCGCGGGGCUUUAGGAGGCGGUUGCACUCUGUUAAAAGAACAGAUUGCCCAAAUCGUUUUUUUUUUUGUACAAAAGAAAAAAGAAAAUGAAGACAACGAACGGAUUUUCUGUUUAAAAUUUCUCCCAAGUUAGUAUCGAGUCUGCUGAGCCGCACGUCCCGGCGCUGGGGUUGCGAUGAGGAGCCGUCCGGAGGAGGCCAGUUUGUUUAUAUGUGAGUUAGUGGUACGGUGCCGUUCACGGCAGUCCCGGCACUCUGGUAGUGCUGGUGCACACUGUGCAACCUGCUGCCCUGCAGGGCCGAAGGGUCUGUGGCGUCGCCCCCCGGGGGCAGGUACAUGCUGAUCAUAUCCCGCAGGUCUCCCAGGCAGGCCCUCUGCGAGUGCGAGGUGAUGGCCGGCGGAGGCGAGCUGGGCUCGGACUUCACCACCGAGCCCAUGGAGCCCAGGCUCAUGGCCGUGGAGGGCUGCUGGCCGUAGGCGGCGGGGGACAUGCUGUAGGUGGAGGCGGCGUUCAUGUAGGUCUGCGCCGUGGACAUCAUGGGGCUGUACUGCAGGCCCGGCAUGUCGUAGCGGUGCAUCUGCUGCAGCUGCGGGCUGUUCAUGCCCGGGUGCUGCCCGUAACCCAGCUGGUCUUGCAUCAGGGAGUAAGCCCCGUUGGUCCAACCGUUCAUAUGGGCGUAAGUGUCAAUCCUCUGGCCCACCCCGACGGGGCUGCUCACCGCGUUGCCCCCUCCGGGGGCCAGCAGGUUGCCCGGCAGCGAGUAUUUGUCCUUCUUCAGCAAGGUCUUGGUCUUCCUCCGGGGCCGGUAUUUGUAAUCCGGGUACUCCUUCAUGUGCACGGCCCGCAGCCUCUUGGCCUCGUCGAUGAAGGGCCGCUUCUCGGCAUCGCUCAGCAGCUUCCAAUCGGCCCCGAGGCGCUUGCUGAUCUCCGAGUUGUGCAUCUUGGGAUUCUCCUGGGCCAUCUUCCGCCGCUGGCCCCGGGACCACACCAUGAAGGCGUUCAUGGGGCGCUUCACCCGGUCCUGGUCCGACCCGGCACCCGCUCCGCUGCCGGCCCCGCCGCCGCCUUUGCCGUUGCCGCCCGGGGCCGGGUUCCCCCCGGCGCUGCCCGGCGUGGGCUGCGGCGUCUUGAUCUCGGUCUCCAGCAUGCUGUACAUGGCCGGGGCCGGUAAGAGAUGCGCCAGGGUGGCAGACGGGCGGGCACAGCUCGGGGAAAGGAAGUUCAAAAUAAUAAGAGUAAAAGAAAGAACCGGUCCGGGCGGCGGCCGCAGGAGGGGGAAGGAGUUUUCCCGUGCCGCUCCCCGAGGUGCAGCGGAGGUUCCCGCGGGCAGCGCUGAGCGACGCGCACACCUCUCCCGGGGGCAUUUGAUUGACGGGCUAUAAAUGAGAGGGCGGUGGCCAAUCAGCGAGCGGUUCCCGACAGCCCCAACGCCGGUAAUGGGUCGGUUUGGAGAGGACGGGGAUGGGCGAAAAGUUGGUGUUUGGGGACUGCUGGGACCGAGCCCCUCCCGCCGCAACCCCCGAGGUGCCGGACCGGCAGCGGGCACUCCGCGGGGUGCGGAGCGGGCAGCGGGGAUCGUGCAGCUGCCGGCGGGGCUGGGAGCCGGGAUGCGGAGCCGGGGUUGCGGAGCGGACGGGAGGACCGCCGCGAGCGGAUCCACGAGUUUGGCGGGCACAAAGAAAUCCGAGGUUUCCGGCUGGAUCCGCCGCCUCGAGACUGUACGAACAGCUGUUCCUGUAGCUUACGCAGCGGAUGAAGGCGACGAGAACUAAAACUUUCGCCUCCGGAGCGGUGUCUGCGUAGGGAAGCCGCCCUGCCCUGCCGGCACCGGGGGCGGCUGCCGGGCGCUCCGUUCAGGUGCCAGGCGGGUGCCCCGCCGCAGCACCGUGCCCCCCUUCGUGUCGCUGAGCCGGGUUGGAUGCCGGCAGGACGCUCCCGGCCCCCCACCCCUCGCCGAACCUCGGCCACUUGUGUUUUUUCCAUUCGGCUGCUCCAGGGGGAGGGGGAAGGGGGAUGGUACUUUGUAAAAACGGUUUUCAUGGCAACGGCGAAGUUCCCUCCGUGUGAAAGAAAACUUGGGAAAGCUGGGGUGACCGGAGAGGAGCUCCCUGCAGCUGUCAAUCACGGGCUUCCCUUUCCGUCCCUCCCCUCCCCUUCCCUUUCCUUCCCUUCCUCCCUCGGAGGCGCGAACGCCCGCACCUACGCGGCCGGGGCCGGGAGCUCCCGAAAGGCACACAGCCUGUCUGCGCUCUUUCUCCUUCCUCAUCCUCCCGCCGUGUCCCGCUCCAGCUCCGCACGGGCAGAGGCACGGGACAGCCCGUUGCCGGCGGAGAUCCAUCACUGCCGGUGCUUUGCGAUCAAACUGCCCCGGGGGCGCGGGACUGGGCAGAGGGCUCGGAGCAGACGUGCCUGGGCACCCCGUCCCCUCCAGGGGGGGCGGCGAGGAGGGAAGCUGCAGCUUGGCAGCCCUCGCGGACACAUCAUUUAGCAUCCCACGGUCCAAGCUAUUAUAAGGCAAUAUUUCUCUUGAAACAUCACACAUCUCCUCACUGAUGAAUAAGAAGCAAGAAGGGGUAAGCAGGGCACCCAGCUCGGAACCUCUCGAUAAUGGUUCUGCCGCGAUCUGAACUCUCGAGAGGAGAGGCAGAAGGUGCUGUCCCGCGAAGCCGCGUUCCUCCCCCGCCGCGUGCCAGGGGAGCACCUGCGGCCGGAUUCCCAGGGAGUGGGGCUGAGGAGUGGUGCGGGUCCGGGCAGAACGAAGUGAGGCUCAGCCGUGGCUCUGCCACCAGCAUCACUCUGCUAACGCAAGGGACCCUCUCCUCGGUUGGAAGCUACAGAUCUCUGCUGAGGCAGAGUAGGGAAGGAAGGGAAAGAGAGGCAAGUCCCGCUAUACAAGCUGUUAUUUCCAAAAACGUCUUGCCGAGCGCUUUAAAAGGUCCGAUCCCAGCCCCAGCCUGGUUCCCGGUCCUUCCCGUGAGCAGAGUUGCUGCCAAGCAGGGAAAGGGCAGAAGCAGGAAAGGUGGCAGAGAGCGCCCGGUAUGGGGCUGGGGAGCACCACGCCUGGAUGGAGCCAUUUUCCUAAAUUCCCUCCUCGGCUGUGGUUGGGAUGAGGAGAAGCCGUCUGGGGCUGAGAGCCCCCUGUGCCCGGUGGGAGUUGGAGGCACUCAUAGGUAUGGAAGUACUGUUGUCAAACUCAAAAAAGCUCUCAGUUCUGUUUUGGUUUUUAAUCUUUUUUUUUUUUUUUUUUUUUUUUUUUUUUUUCUGGUGACAAAAGGACGUGAGGCAAAAGCAGGAAUUUACAGCACACUUCAAGCUGAAUGUGAGAGAAAGCCCAUGGCUGACAAGGGACAAUCGGCUUCAUAUGUGAUCAGCACUUAAUAAGCAAUAGCCAUUAAUAUCUAUUAAUUGCAGCUCCAUAGAACUUGGGGAGGGGGGUUCUUGGAAGGGGAGAUUGCUGGCUUUUAGAGCAACGCCAAAAAAGCCCCAUUUAAUCCCAUUAUUAAAACAUCCCCCCCAGCCCCGAACAUCAGUGGGGCUCAGCCUUCACAGCGAGCCCAGACCCGGAGCUGAGCCCCGUUUGUUCGGUUCCUGCUGACCCUCGCUUGGAUGAUUCCCCAAGAAUAGCCAUGUGAUGCUUAAAAGAAAGGUUCGCGUAUUUCUGCACUUGGACUCUGUUUUAAGAUUUCCCCAAAGUUUCCACAUAGUAAUGCAGCUCUCAAGUGGGUCACAUCGGGCUGAUGCUGCAGCCCCAGCUCGCUGGGUUGAGACAGGUUUGUUUUUGUUCCCCUACCAGUGGUGUCACGUCAAACCAACCUCUCCAGCUGCCUUGGACCGAGUUCCCAUUGCAGCUGGGGGUACAAACCACCACAGCCCUGAACGGGUCCCCUAUCCCCGCUGCGGCUUCACCCGUACCCACUGCAGAGCACAACAGCGAUUGCAGCAUCCCUGCUGCUCAUCUGCCCCAAAGCACGAGGGAUACCUUUGAUGAUAUCAUUAAAACCAGCAACAUUUAAAAACAAAAAUCUCACGACCGUGGGUAAAACCCGGGCAGUCGUUUGGGUGCAGCUCGGUUCCUUUGAACCGAGCCUCCCAGUGCACUCAGGGGGCAGCAGCGAAUGUUGUUUUUAAUCACUUUUUCCCCCCAGCUGAACUUUUAUUUGGCUUCUACCAACAAUAGCGGGCUGCAAACAGACCUCUCGGAGCGCCGCUGAAUAGACUCUUUUCUGGCCCGGAUUGUUUCCACCGCCACAAAAACAACCAGGAGCUCCGUGUCUUAAUUGGGCUGUUCCCGGCCCUCGCUCAUUCAUUCAGGUGUUCGCCAGGAAUUUGUUUAUUAGCCUCUGACAAACAGCUCCUCCUGGUAAUCGCCUCAUGGGGUUGGCUUCUGCGGGAGGGGAGGGAUGCGGCGGGGGGGCAUUGCUAAUAAGGACCCCUCAUCUCCAAGUUACCGAUUUACAGAGCUGCAGAGGGGACCACCAACACAGGACGUCUCCCCACGGCUCUCUGUGGAACCCCGCGGAAACGAGAAGAGAAAACACCGAGGGAAAAAAAAAAAAAAAAAAAAAACGAGCACGAAAGCCGGUGCUAAAGACGGCGGCAGGAACUUCGUGCAGCUCCCCCCGCUAUUCCCAGUCCCACAUGUCGCCCCCCGAGCGCAGCAGCACCGUCCGUGUCCCGCCCGGUCCCACCCAGCCCCGGGGGACGCGGGCACAGCGCGGGGCGGAGCGGAGCAGAGCGGCCCCUGGUGCCCACGCAGCGCCCUUUGCCGCGGGUGUCCCCAACAGCCCCAGGGGCUGCGGGUAUCCCCACUCGCGGCGCUUCACCGACCCUUUCCCCCACUCUCCGGUGGCAGCUGAGCGGUCGCAGAAGUCAUUCUCCAGGAAAACAAACCCACUCGAUCACCUAUUUUUUACCCAUCGAUAACUCGGUGAAUCCUUCCCGCAGUGUUUUCCGUUCGGAUUCAGUAACGCACCUCAUUUGCUGGCAAUGAUGGUGAGGCGUCUUGUUUAUGAGUCAUAUUAGAAAUGCGGCAUUAAUUGCAAAACUCUAACUUGCUAAUUAGCCGCAAAUAAACUAUUAAUUAGUGGCAAAUUAAAUCAAAACACAUCUUAUUUCUCCCCUCUGACACACAAUUUUGCAGGCACAUAUUGUUUCAAACUGCAGCCUGUAUCACUGGCACAGCAAAUAGAGAUCCUGAAAGGUUUCUCUUCAGGACAAAUAAUUAAAAUAUAUUCUCCUUUAAUUGACAUUAUAGAGGACACAAAUGAGGUUUUCCUUUUAGAAAUAAAUAGCAGUUUCUAAAUAAAGCUCUGCGGGCUGCAGAAUGGAGGUUUCAACCAAAUGAAUAGUCAUUACUACCUUUUCAAUGAUGUGGGCCUUUUGAUCAGAAAAGAAAUUAGCUCUAAAGGACAGACAAUAGGAAGCCUGCCCUGCAAUAGGAAGAAAAUUAGAUGGCUAAGGCUCUUAACAACACCUAUUUCUAUAAACCAUGGAGCUUCUUGCUUUUCAAUUACAGCUGUUCAUUUCAUAGAAGAAAAGUGGAAAAACACAGGGAAUAUAAACUCUGUUGCACCAAGCAGCCCAAAGCCGGACCGGGAGAGUCUUCCCGUUUCCCUUCCAUUUUAGUAGAAUCAGUUAACAAACACUGUAUGUUUUAUGACACCAAGAGCAUCCAAUAUAGCGUUCUCUAGGUCAAACAAACAAUCAAGAUGGACUAUAAUCAUUAAUUUGGGUAGUUGGAUGUUUCCACUGCACACCAACUAACGUAUUUCACACACACAUCACAUCCUUGUCCUCUUUUCGUGCAGAAAACGAAACAAGAAUGGUGAGCUUGAGGAAAAUGAACUGCUAAAUAACACCACUGCCUUUUGGUUACAGAAAAAUUAAUUUCACUUCCCAUGAAUUGGAAUGUGCAUUCUUUCAUUACACUCCAAACGGAAAGAUUAUUUUAGACUCGUUCUCCCCAUAACGCUUUUAACUCAAGCAUCCCAGUUAUUUUAGCAAUCCUACUUUUACUUUCAUUUUAAAACUUAACAAUAACUUCAAUAACUUUAAAAUGUGUUCUCUUCCAAAAUAUUUCAUUUGGAUAUUAUUUUCGGAACACUGUUUUUCUUUCUUCCAUUUAAAAUGUUUUCCCACGAGUCCUAGAAAAGCACAUGGAAGCACACCUUUCUUCCUCCAGAACUUCUCCCUACUCAUACCUUCAUGAUGCAAAUGGCUGACAAUUUUCAUUGACUAUGCAUGAUACUGUAAUGGAAAUAAUCUUUCAGUGAUUAUUUGAGUAAGUAACAGCCACGAAGCUUUGUUAUAAACAAGUCCUGUUCUCAUAUUAACUUGUGAGACUAUAAAGAUCUCCUUAGAAAUAAAACAUAAC
ensembl:lncRNA